GCUAGAGGAUUAAGAAGGCCUGGUCUGUUGAGCAGGGCUAGGCCGAUACCAUCCUCUUAUAGAAAUGCAAUGGGGAGAGGGGUCCAGCUUCCAGACAGCAGAGACCUCCCUGUGCCAUCCAACAACG